AUGUACUGUUUUUCACAUACUGUAUAUCUCAGUAAUCUCUUGAUAUUAUUAUUAUUAUUAUUAUUAUUAUUAUUAUUAUUCAGAUCAUACCCUCACUACGGCAGUGUUGGAAUCACAAUUAUCAGGUUAUUCUGUCAUAUGAUGACUCAGCUGCGUCUGAAUAUGAGGAAUUGUGGCCACAGUGUGAAUAUUGGUGGGCAAAUACAUCAGAUCCAAAACAUGUCAUAUCUUACCUGGAAGAGAGAGAAACAGAAGGAAGACCAGGAUCAACUGAAUGCGAUGCAUCUGAGCCGUCUGCACGCUGCCACCACGAGCCCUAGCCCGGCGUACCUGAGCCACUGGCUUCAGAGCGGUGAGGCGAGGCCGUGCUCUCACUCCAGCCAUGUUGCCAAUAGCGAGGAGGGAGCACACACCAAGAGAAGCGCAUGUGAACAACACCCACAUGCCAUCCCAACCAUCCCUGAGGUGCACGAGCCUCUGGAGAGAAAGGCUCGGUUUAGGAGCCGCAAUGUCAUGUCUCUGAGUGAUGCAGACAGUUUGUGUCUGAUCUGCCAUGACGACCUACGCAAAGGAGGAGGAGUUAUCAGAGAGCUUCACUGUUCCCACAGCUUCCACAGUGAGUGCAUAGAGGAAUGGCUGUGGACCAAGCAGACCUGUCCCACGUGUCAAAAGCGUGUUGCCAUGCCAGAGCCCCUGUACUGGACAUCUACCAGAGUAAUAGUGCCCUGA
rnacentral:lncRNA from 1 species